UGGGGAAUCUUGGACAAUGGGGGCAACCCUGAUCCAGCCAUGCCGCGUGAGUGAUGAAGGCCUUAGGGUCGUAAAGCUCUUUCGCCUGUGAAGAUAAUGACGGUAGCAGGUAAAGAAACCCCGGCUAACUCCGUGCCAGCAGCCGCGGUAAUACGGAGGGGGUUAGCGUUGUUCGGAAUUACUGGGCGUAAAGCGCACGUAGGCGGACCAGAAAGUUGGGGGUGAAAUCCCGGGGGCUCAACCCCGGAACUGCCUCCAAAACUAUUGGUCUAGAGUUCGAGAGAGGUGAGUGGAAUUCCAAGUGUAGAGGUGAAAUUCGUAGAUAUUUGGAGGAACACCAGUGGCGAAGGCGGCUCACUGGCUCGAUACUGACGCUGAGGUGCGAAAGUGUGGGGAGCAAACAGGAUUAGAUACCCUGGGUAGUCCACACCGUAAAACGAUGGAAUGCCAGUCGUCGGGUAGCAUGCUAUUCGGUGACACACCU
rnacentral:rRNA from 1 species